rnacentral:rRNA from 1 species
UGGGGAAUAUUGCACAAUGGGCGCAAGCCUGAUGCAGCCAUGCCGCGUGUAUGAAGAAGGCCUUCGGGUUGUAAAGUACUUUCAGCGGGGAGGAAGGGAGUAAAGUUAAUACCUUUGCUCAUUGACGUUACCCGCAGAAGAAGCGCCGGCUAACUACGUGCCAGCAGCCGCGGUAAUACGUAGGGCGCGAGCGUUGUCCGGAAUUAUUGGGCGUAAAGGGCUUGUAGGCGGCUUGUUGCGCCUGCUGUGAAAACGCGGGGCUUAACUUCGCGCGUGCAGUGGGUACGGGCAGGCUUGAGUGUGGUAGGGGUGACUGGAAUUCCAGGUGUAGCGGUGGAAUGCGCAGAUAUCUGGAGGAACACCGAUGGCGAAGGCAGGUCACUGGGCCAUUACUGACGCUGAGGAGCGAAAGCAUGGGUAGCGAACAGG